rnacentral:rRNA from 1 species
UACGUAGGUGGCAAGCGUUGUCCGGAUUUACUGGGCGUAAAGAGCGCGCAGGCGGUCGUUCAAGUCGCGUGUGAAAGCCCCCGGCUCAACUGGGGAGGGUCACGCGAUACUGAUCGACUCGAAGGCAGGAGAGGGUAGUGGAAUUCCCGGUGUAGUGGUGAAAUGCGUAGAUAUCGGGAGGAACACCAGUGGCGAAGGCGGCUUCCUGGCCUGUUCUUGACGCUGAGGCGCGAAAGCUAGGGGAGCAAACGGGGAUUAAGAAACCCC